GAGCGCAACCCUUAUCCCCACGUUGCCAUCAGGUAAAAGGACUGGGGAACGUCUGGGGAGGACUGCCGGUGAUAAACCGGAGGAAGGCGGGGAUGACGUCAAGUCCUCAUGGCCCUUACAUCCCGGGCUACACACGUGCUACAAUGGCAGGUACAGAGGGCUGCGAAGCCGCGAGGUGGAGCGAAUCCCAGAAAACCUGUCUCAGUCCGGAUUGAAGUCUGCAACUCGCCUGCAUGAAGAUGGAGUUGCUAGUAACCGCAGGUCAGCAAUACUGCGGUGAAUACGUUCCCGGGUCUU
rnacentral:rRNA from 1 species